rnacentral:rRNA from 1 species
UACAGGGGGGGCAAGCGUUGUUCGGAAUUACUGGGCGUAAAGGGCUCGUAGGUGGCCAACUAGGUCAGACGUGAAAUCCCUCAGCUUAACUGGGGAACUGCGUCUGAUACUGGAUGGCUUGAGUUUGGGAGAGGGAUGCGGAAUUCCAGGUGUAGCGGUGAAAUGCGUAGAUAUCUGGAGGAACACCGGUGGCGAAGGCGGCAUCCUGGACCAACACUGACACUGAGGAGCGAAAGCCAGGGGAGCAAACGGG